UACAUAGGGUGCAAGCGUUAUUCGUAUUUAUUGGGCGUAAAGAGCUCGUAGGCGGUUCAACAAGUCGGGUGUUAAACCCCCAGGCUCAACCUGGGGCCGCCACCCGAAACUGUUGUGACUAGAGUUUGGUAGGGGAUCACGGAAUUCCUGGUGUAGCGGUGGAAUGCGCAGAUAUCAGGAGGAACACCGGUGGCGAAGGCGGGUCUCUGGGCCAUUACUGACACUGAGGAGCGAAAGCGUGGGGAGCAAACAGG
rnacentral:rRNA from 1 species